rnacentral:rRNA from 1 species
UACGUAGGGUGCGAGCGUUGUCCGGAAUUAUUGGGCGUAAAGAGCUUGUAGGCGGUUUGUCGCGUCUGCUGUGAAAAUCCGGGGCUCAACCCCGGACUUGCAGUGGGUACGGGCAGGCUAGAGUGUGGUAGGGGAGACUGGAAUUCCUGGUGUAGCGGUGAAAUGCGCAGAUAUCAGGAGGAACACCGAGUGCGAAGGCAGGUCUCUGGGCCACUACUGACGCUGAGAAGCGAAAGCAUGGGGAGCGAACAGG